rnacentral:lncRNA from 1 species
AGAGGAGCUCAUUACCUGGAAAGGGAACUUCACGGUGGUUUUUGCACAAACUCAGAUCAGCUAAUGAAAAGCGGAAGGAAGAGUCAGUCAGCCAAGAACAAGAAGACGGGAGACAGAGCACCUGCAGGAGACGGUCCCUCGCUGAAACAUCAAGUUGCUCAAAGGAAAGUAAGAAAUGCCUGGCUUACCUGGAAGAGGCAUGCCACCAGAGGUAUGACUGAGGGCGAGGUCUAGUGUUUAAACACUGAUUAGCGUCUCAGCAUUACCCGAGGCUGGGUCAUGAGCUGCGGCUUUGAUUUACCAUUCUCUCUGGAAUGAGACCUUUCCAGGAGCUUGUAAGAUCGCCUAAAUUAUGUAUAAAUGAGGUAAAACUGUCUGUCUUAAAAGCCACUCUCUUUUUAAAAAGUAGGCAUGAGUCUCAAGCUGUACAGUAUCAGAGCGUUUAAUCGCCUUUUCUAGAAUGUUCUGAGUACUUUAAAAAUGAAGAGCAAUACUAACUUAAAUACAAUCUGACUCCCGAAGGUUCUUGGAUGAGCACACAUACACAGUUUUAAAGAAAACAAAUUAGACAUUCCUCGCAAGUCAUACAUGAAGCCUACUAUCCCGUUAGGUAAG